GGCGGCAUGGCCAAGUGGUAAGGCAGAGGUCUGCAAAACCUUUAUCCCCAGUUCAAAUCUGGGUGCCGCCU
rnacentral:tRNA from 2 species